UACGAGGGGGGCGAGCGUUGUUCGGAAUUAUUGGGCGUAAAGCGCACGUAGGCGGUUCGUUAAGUCGGAUGUGAAAGCCCUCGGCUCAACUGAGGAAGUGCACCCGAAACUGGCGAGCUUGAGUACGAAAGAGGAUCGCGGAAUUCCCGGUGUAGAGGUGAAAUUCGUAGAUAUCGGGAGGAACACCGGUGGCGAAGGCGGCGAUCUGGGUCGAUACUGACGCUGAGGAGCGAAAGCGUGGGGAGCGAACAGG
rnacentral:rRNA from 1 species